CUUUCCUGUUUACUAUAUGCGAAGAGGAAUAAGAGGAAUCGAUAUCUACCACAAGAAAGCACAUCAACUGACCCAAAUGUUAAAGACAAACCGAAAAAGGGAGGGGCAACAUUUCUUGGCUCAAAAGAUCUAUCAUCUGCUACAGCUAAAAUUAUUCCCCCAAAAAAUGUGAGUAGCAUG